rnacentral:rRNA from 1 species
UACGUAGGGGGCUAGCGUUGUCCGGAUUUAUUGGGCGUAAAGAGCGUGUAGGCGGCCAGGUAGGUCUGCUGUGAAAACUCGAGGCUCAACCUCGAGACGUCGGUUGAAACCAUCUGGCUAGAGUCCGGAAGAGGAGAGUGGAAUUCCUGGUGUAGCGGUGAAAUGCGCAGAUAUCAGGAAGAACACCCGUGGCGAAGGCGGCUAUCUGGACGGUUUCUGACACUAAGACUCGAAAGCGUGGGGAGCAAACAGG